UUUCCGGUUGAUCCUGCCGGAGGUUACUGCUAUCGAGGUUCGACUAAAGCCAUGCGAGUCGAAUGUAGCAAUACAUGGCGAACUGCUCAGUAACACGUGGACAACCUGCCCUUAGGUUGGGUAUAAACCCGGGAAACUGGGUAUAAUACCCGAUAGGUCUCGAUUGCUGGAAUGCAUCGAGAUUUAAAGCUCCGGCGCCUAAGGAUGGGUCUGCGGCCUAUCAGGUAGUAGUGGGUGUAGCGUACCUACUAGCCUACGACGGGUACGGGUUGUGAGAGCAAGAGCCCGGAGAUGGAUUCUGAGACACGAAUCCAGGCCCUACGGGGUGCAGCAGGCGCGAAAACUUUACAAUGCUGGCAACAGCGAUAAGGGAACCUCGAGUGCCAGGUUACAAAUCUGGCUGUCGAGAUGCCUAAAAAGCAUUUCAUAGCAAGGGCCGGGCAAGACCGGUGCCAGCCGCCGCGGUAACACCGGCGGCUCGAGUGGUAACCGUUAUUAUUGGGUCUAAAGGGUCUGUGGCCGGCCGGAUAAGUCUCUUGAGAAAUCUGGCAGCUUAACUGUCAGGCUUUCAGGAGAUACUGUCUGGCUCGAGGCCGGGAGAGGUGAGAGGUACUUCAGGGGUAGGGGUGAAAUCUUGUAAUCCUUGAAGGACCACCAGUGGCGAAGGCGUCUCACCAGAACGGACCUGACGGCAAGGGACGAAAGCUAGGGGCACGAACCGGAUUAGAUACCCGGGUAGUCCUAGCCGUAAACGAUACUCGCUAGGUGUCGGCCACGGUGCGACUGUUGUCGGUGCCGUAGGGAAGCCGGAAGCGAGCCACCUGGGAAGUACGGCCGCAAGGCUGAAACUUAAAGGAAUUGGCGGGA
rnacentral:rRNA from 1 species